rnacentral:rRNA from 1 species
GUGGGGAAUAUUGGACAAUGGGGGCAACCCUGAUCCAGCAAUGCCGCGUGUGUGAAGAAGGUCUUCGGAUCGUAAAGCACUUUCGACGGGGACGAUGAUGACGGUACCCGUAGAAGAAGCCCCGGCUAACUUCGUGCCAGCAGCCGCGGUAAUACGAAGGGGGCUAGCGUUGCUCGGAAUUACUGGGCGUAAAGGGCGCGUAGGCGGCUCUGUUAGUCAGGCGUGAAAUUCCUGGGCUUAACCUGGGGACUGCGCUUGAUACUGCGGAGCUUGAGGCCGAGAGAGGGUGGUGGAAUUCCCAGUGUAGAGGUGAAAUUCGUAGAUAUUGGGAAGAACACCGGUGGCGAAGGCGACCACCUGGCUCGGUACUGACGCUGAGGCGCGACAGCGUGGGGAGCAAACAGGAUUAGAUACCCCAGUAGUCC